rnacentral:lncRNA from 1 species
GGAUUCUCAAAACAGAAAGUUAUUUAGCCGAGCCUUUUCUCCAUUUUUCCAGGGAUGGUUGGUAGCUGACACCACCAAGAAGACAGAAGAGAGGGGUUAAUUAACUCACUGUCCAUAAUGGACUUUCUACAGCACUUGUGGCUUAAUUCCAUCUCUGAACAUCUUGAGAAAUAAGACUUGAGAAAUACCAUACCUAUGGCCUGGAGACAGACCACAUGCAAAGUGCCGUUGUAUGCACUGAUGAGUAUAGUGACUUACAAAAUGUGUAUUAUGGACUUGAAACUUCAACUUUGAUACAGUCACGUGGAUCUCAAUUGAAGGAGACAAAGUACACCCCUACCCGCGCGGAUUCAAAUGACCCCAAACGACCCCAUUCCCUCAAAUACCAACUCUGUACCACCUCAUUAACAUAGAAAACAGGCAUUCUGCUGGACACUCUAUGAGGUGAUACACAGCAGGGCCCACUGAGUGUUCCAGCUGUAAAUUACACGCUACUGGUGCUGAAGGUGUGCACAGUCAAGUGCUAGGGGACAAGCAUCCAGGAUGGUACUGUGGAUGAAGGACAAGAAUGGAUGCACGAGAUACUGAGAAAAUGGGAUCUUCAAGCGCUCCAGUCCAAUGUGAGAGGUGCUAGAAGUUAUGGGGUGUGUUUUGCUUAUUCACGGAAGAUGGGCGUGCUGAAGACAGGGAAAGUUCUCAUUUUUGAUCGUU